AUUGAACGCUGGCGGCAGGCCUAACACAUGCAAGUCGAACGAGUGGCGGACGGGUGAGUAAUGUAUGGGGAUCUGCCUGAUGGAGGGGGAUAACUACUGGAAACGGUGGCUAAUACCGCAUACCAUCGGAUGUACCCAUAUGGGAUUAGCUAGUAGGUGGGGUAAAGGCUCACCUAGGCGACGAUCUCUAGCUGGUCUGAGAGGAUGAUCAGCCACACUGGAACUGAGACACGGCCCAGACUCCUACGGGAGGCAGCAGUGGGGAAUAUUGCACAAUGGGCGAAAGCCUGAUGCAGCCAUGCCGCGUGUAUGAAGAAGGCCUUCGGGUUGUAAAGUACUUUCAGCGGGGAGGCGUUACCCGCAGAAGAAGCACCGGCUAACUCCGUGCCAGCAGCCGCGGUAAUAC
rnacentral:rRNA from 1 species